rnacentral:lncRNA from 1 species
UUUGUAUCUCAUUGAGCUUAUUUAAAAUCAAUAUUUUGAAUUAUUUAUCUGGUAUUUCAAAGAUUUCCUUUGGAUUAGAAUCCAUUGCUAGAGAGUUAAUGUGAUUCACUGGGGUGUUUUAACACUCUGUUUUUUCAUAUUACCAGAAUUUUUCCUCUGGUUCCUUUUCAUCUAGAUAAACUAUCUCUUCUUCUCUCUUUCUUUUUUUUGAAUUUACUUUCGUUUGGAAAGGAAUUUUUUUCCUCCUUGAGGAUGUGACUAUGCUGUAUGCUGUGUAUGGUUAUUUUACUUUGGUUCUGGAUGCUUUCAGUGGUUUGAUCUCAGCCAGCCUUUUGCUUCUGUCUUUUUCUGUAUGGUAGCUUCUUCCUGUGAGUUCUCCAAUAGUUCCGGCACCCUCUCUUUAAUAUUCUAUGUGAGUUUUGAUUAUUUACCUCUACGUUCCAUUCUUCUUUCUGAGGAGAACUUACAUGUGACCUCUCUAGUCAGCCAUCUUGAAAUUUAUAAAUUGGCUGAAGCCAUGUAUGAAGGUGGGGAAAGAGCUAAGGCUGCACUUUCACCAUUUGGCAUGAAGGGGGUACUUUCCCAUGGGCCUGAUGUGAAAGCUGGAGCCUCUGAAAUGAAUUCUGCAAAGGCAAGGGGGCCCUGGAAGUAUGAGAAUGUGGGGUUGGUUGCAGAGGCAGGAGCUGAUGAGGAGUAGCAAUUGGUCAGCUAAAGAAGAUACAUCAGGGACCUCUGAAGAAUUCACAAUCAUAUGCUCAAGAAAAAAGUCAGCUUUGGUCACACCACCAAGAGCAUCAACACUGAGCAAAUCAAGCAGGUCUUUUCCUGCUUUCUUUUCUUUUGUUUCUCUCCCCUUGCAAUCCUGCGGAUUUGGGUAUAAGGUAGAGAGAAGCUGACAGAGAAACAAGAUGUCUGCUUUCUUUGUUUUCCACUGUAAGUUUCCGAAGGAGGCCCAAUCUGGAGUAGGGAGAAAUAGUCAACUUAAAAUGACUUGUGGAAUUUUAACUAUUACAAGAACCUGUUUGAAUUAGUGAAAUGAGACAGUUCUUGCAAGUAGAAAUGACUAUAGAAUUUUUAAUUGUUCAACAAACAGAGAAAAUCUUUUGGGCUCCUUAACAUUUCAUCCAGGGGCAGGGAAAAAAACCUAGCCACACCCCAUAGAGCAGGUAUUAUGGGCUGGCAUUGAGAUGGAAAGAAUUACAAUGCUCGAUGACUUUAUUUUUUAAAGACAGGUUUACCCAUGAUUAUUGUGUAA